rnacentral:tRNA from 1 species
UCCCUUGUGGCUCAGCUGGUAAAGAAUCUGCCCGCAAUGCAGGAGACCUGGGUUCAAUCCCUGGCUUGGGAA